UUGACAGAGAGAGAGAGAGAGAUUACAAGUAGGCAGAACAGCAGGCGGGGGGAAGCAGGCUCCCUGCUGAGCAGAGAGCCUGCUGUGCAGCUCCAUCCCAGGACCCUGAGAUCAUGACCUGAGCUGAAGGCAGAAGCUUAAUCCACUGAGCCACCCAGGUGCCCCAACAAAUAGUAUUUUAAAAAUCAGAAUUAAUGUAAAAAUCCAUGUGAAAAAAUAUCAAUAUUUUGAAUAGACAGGAUCAGGAUUAUCGAUUUUUCCUUUUAUCUCAGUCAUCCAGUAUGAUUUGGUACAGCACUGAAAGCAAGAUGUUUUGGUUUUGUUUUUGCUGUUUGCCCUCAGUCAGAUUUUUUAAUGUUUGAACCUUUGGAGAAUUACCUUGUAAAUCAUUUUAAGUGUUUACAGUGGAAUUUUGUGAGUCCUCUAAAUUGUGUUCAGAAGAAACAAAGUCUUUAAUCACAAUGUUCCACAAGUGUGCCAAAAAACUCUGUAACUUUUAAAACUUGUAUCAAAUUUUAGGUAUUAUAAACAAAGCCUUGAGCAAAUUUCAGUGAUUUCACACUAGAAAACAUUUACAUUUAUCCCUCCAAAGCGAGAGAGUUGUUGAAUAAAUUAGCUGAUGGGACCUUAAAUGGUGGCCAAGAUUUAAAUUAGGAAUUCAGUAGUUUUUCUUUGACUUGUGGGAAGAAUGUUUUGAUGGAGUGCCUAUUUUUAAUUGGGCAAAUUUAUAUUUUGUGCUUGAACUGCAGGGAAGACGGAAGGGCUGACAUUUUGCGGCAUCUGUGAUUGGCAAAAUAUUAAAAAGAAUUACAAAGUCAAGUUAUGUGGAUCUCCUCCAGGCUGUCGCACUAAAUUUAGUUGUGAAGUCUCCUUAGGCUCUUCUUGGCAGUGACAGCUUUUCAGCCUUCUUGUUUUCGACGACCUUGACAGUUUGGGGGAUUACUGGUCAGACUCCAGGAAGUACUCAGAACCUAGAACCCGAGGCUGAGGCAUCAGUGAAACGUCCAUCAAGAGGACAGGAGGCAGAAGCACCUGUGUCCUCCACGGAGGUGUUGAGAACCAAGGAAACCAGGUUCUGGGGCAGUGGGAAACCUCUGGAGUUGGGGGUGGUGAUGGGAGACUUGGGGAUGGGCAGAGGGGAUGCUGACAGCCAGUACCAAGCCUAGGGCAGAGCUGGGCCUGCAGGACA